CAAGUCGCACGGGGGUAGCAAUACCCCAGUGGCGAACGGGUGCGUAACACGUGAGGAACAUUCCUUCCGGUGGGGGAUAGCCGGCCUAACGGCCGGGUAAUACCGCAUACGCUGUUCUGGGUGCAUACCCUGGAUCGGAAAGCAGCAAUGCGCCGGAAAGGUGCCUCGCGGCCUAUCAGCUAGUUGGUGAGGUAAUGGCUCACCAAGGCGACGACGGGUAGCUGGUCUGAGUGGAUGAUCAGCCACAUUGGGACUGAGACACGGCCCAGACUCCUACGGGAGGCAGCAGUGGGGAAUCUUGCGCGAUGGCCGAAAGGCUGACGCAGCGACGCCGCGUGUGGGAUGACGGCCUUCGGGUUGUAAACCACUGUCGCAAGGGACGAAUGUCUGACGGUACCUCUGAAGGAACCUUCGGCUAACUCUGUGCCAACAUCCGCGGUAAUACACAGGGUGCAAGCGAUGUCCGGAAUCACUGGGCGAAAMGGGCGCGUAAGCGGCCUGAUAAGUAGGGGGUGAAAUACUGGGGCAUAACCUCAGGGUUGCCUUCUAGACUGUCCGGCUCGAGCACAGUAGAGGCAGGUGGAAUUCCCGGUGUAGCGGUGGAAUGCGUAUAGAUCGGCGAAGAACAUCGGUGGCGAAUGCGGCCUGCUGGCCUGUUGCUGACGCUGUAGGCUGCGACWGCGUGGGCGAGCACACGGGAUUAGAUACCCCUGUUAGAUCCACGUGCGUAAACGAUGGGUACUAGGGUGUCGGGUAGAGCGACGCCCUCGCUGCCCUCGCUAAUGCCGUAAAUAACCCCGCCUGUGCAGUACCGUGCGCAGGGCUGACACUCAGAGUGAAUUGACAGGGGGACUCGCACGAGGCGSUGCAGCAUGCGGUGUUAAUUUGUAAGUCAAACGUGCAGAACCCCUACCCUGAGCC
rnacentral:rRNA from 1 species